rnacentral:snRNA from 1 species
UGGUCUUUAAUGGACAAUGGU